GGCAGGUGAGUCUUAGGCUCCUUUCGGCCAACAUUCGCGGCGCGACGUUCGUUUAUCUGUCCUUCCUCGCGAUUCCUAGUUAUUCUUUUUUCCCGACAAGGUGAACCAUCCGAUCGUUUCUACGAAAUGUCCACGUCGUCAUCACAUUAUCAUUCACGCAAUGCGCAUGCGCGAAUCUUGUACGGUUGGAGCCUUCGACAUAAGAUAGAGCUAGCGGCACUUUGUGAUGUUACUGCUCGCAUCCAUAUCUGCUUUUGACAGCCACUAUGGAUAACUGCGAGCAGUUAUCGAUAUAGACAUCAAGAAUCCAUAUUUGAGUGCAUUUGUCAAAGGAGUGUCAUCAUACAGUUAUUUGUCAUGCAUCAUAUAUUCAGCU